UACGGAGGGUGCAAGCGUUAUCCGGAUUCACUGGGUUUAAAGGGUGCGUAGGUGGUUCUGUAAGUCAGUGGUGAAAUCUCCGUGCUUAACAUGGAAACUGCCAUUGAUACUAUAGGUCUUGAAUUUUCUGGAGGUAAGCGGAAUAUGUCAUGUAGCGGUGAAAUGCUUAGAUAUGACAUAGAACACCAAUUGCGAAGGCAGCUUGCUACAGGGAUAUUGACACUGAGGCACGAAAGCGUGGGGAUCAAACAGG
rnacentral:rRNA from 1 species